rnacentral:rRNA from 1 species
CGUGGACGUUUGAGAUUUGAGAGGGGCUGCUCCUAGUACGAGAGGACCGGAGUGGACGAACCUCUGGUGUUCCGGUUGUCACGCCAGUGGCAUUGCCGGGUAGCUAUGUUCGGAAAAGAUAACCGCUGAAAGCAUCUAAGCGGGAAACUUGCCUCAAGAUGAGAUCUCACUGGGAACUUGAUUCCCCUGAAGGGCCGUCGAAGACUACGACGUUGAUAGGCUGGGUGUGUAAGCGUUGUAAGGCGUUGAGCUAACCAGUACUAAUUGCCCGUGAGGCUUGACCAUAUAACACCCAAACA